rnacentral:rRNA from 1 species
AGUUAACGUUGGCGGCGUGCCUAACACAUGCAAGUCGAACGCGUCCUAAGGGCAACUUUAGGAUGAGUGGCGAACGGGUGAGUAUCACGUGGGUAAUCUUCCUUCAAGUGGGGAAUAAGCUCUCGAAAGGGAGUCUAAUACCGCAUGACAUUCCGGGACACAAGUCCCGUAAUCAAAGCCGCAAGGCGCUUGAAGAUGAGCCUGCGUCCUAUUAGCUAGUUGGUGGGGUAACGGCCUACCAAGGCUUAGAUGGGUAGCCGGCCUGAGAGGGUGAACGGCCACACUGGGACUGAGACACGGCCCAGACUCCUACGGGAGGCAGCAGUGAGGAAUUUUGCGCAAUGGGGGAAACCCUGACGCAGCGACGCCGCGUGGAGGAUGAAGGCCUUCGGGUCGUAAGCUCCUGUCAGAGGUGAAGAAUACCCGCAACGGGUUUGACGGUAACCUCAGAGGAAGCCCCGGCUAACUACGUGCCAGCAGCCGGGGUAAAAGUCACGUCG